GACGAACGCUGGCGGCGUGCUUAACACAUGCAAGUCGAACGGAAAGGCCCUGCUUUUGUGGGGUGCUCGAGUGGCGAACGGGUGAGUAACACGUGAGUAACCUGCCCUUUACUUUGGGAUAACUUCAGGAAACUGGUGCUAAUACCGGAUAGGAUCUCCUGCUGCAUGGUGGGGGUUGGAAAGUUUCGGCGGUUGGGGAUUGACUCGCGGCUUAUCAGCUUGUUGGUGGGGUAGUGGCUUACCAAGGCUUUGACGGGUAGCCGGCCUGAGAGGGUGACCGGCGACAUUGGGACUGAGAUACGGCCCAGACUCGUACGGGAGGCAGCAGUGGGGAAUAUUGCACAAUGGGCGGAAGCAUGAUGAAGAAAGGCAGCGUGCGGGAUGACGGCCUGCGGGUUGUAAACCGCUUUCGACUGUGACGAAGAGUGAGUGACGGUAAUGGGUAAAGAAGCACCGGCUAACUACGUG
rnacentral:rRNA from 1 species